GUUCCUGCAGCACAUCGAUAGCGCGUUGGACUUCUAAUCCAAAGAUCGUGGGUUCGAAUCCCUCCGGGGAUG